ACACCUAAACUGAUUUCAGACUAACGACUUUUUCUACCUAAUUCUGAAAACUUGGAUAUUUUCUAACAAGUAAAUUUUUAAGUUUAUCACAAAGCUUCAAAUUUUGGACCUGCUCCCCGUUUAACUAAACAAGACUCCAGAAAUACUUGCCACCAAAGUAACGUUUCCUGUAUUGUCCAUUGCUAGAUAUUUUCCCAUCCUUAUUGCUUUCAUUGUAAUCUCUCCGUUAAACCCAACUGUGUGCAUUUUUAGUUUAGC
rnacentral:lncRNA from 1 species